rnacentral:piRNA from 1 species
UCCCAGGAGAAUAACUAAUACUGUGGUGG